CAACUGUGCCUCCAUUGGGUUCGAGCAUCCCACCCCAGAACAUACUGGACUCCUGGAUUGAUGUCUGGAGCUGUGCAGUGCCACCAUAGCAGAAGGGGACAUACCAGCCUGGAGCAGGAGCUUUCUCCUGGAGCCCAGCAUCCUCCUCCCAGAAACCUUGGACUCUCAGAUGUUAUCAGAUGUCCACCCCCAGAACUCCCUUCCUCUCAUCUCCAGGGACUGUCGCUGGCCUACAGCCCAACGAAUGAGCUUAAAUCGAUCUCUGUGAUGAGCCCCAAUUACUGGUCUCAGGACCCUGCCUCAGCAUGGGUCUGGGGUUCCAGAAGAAAGAAGAUAGGACAGUCAUACACCAGCCUUUUCCCUCAGGUAUCCUCAGGACUUUUUCCUACU
rnacentral:lncRNA from 1 species